rnacentral:rRNA from 1 species
AUGGUCGCGGACGGGCUCAGCCCCGACAGGUUCACCGUCUCGGCGCUCCUGUCCGCGUGCGCGUCCGAGCGCCAGGGCAGGGAGCUGCAUUGCUUCGCCGUCAAGCGCGGGAUGUGCGGCGACGGCGAUUUCCAUGUCAGCAGCGGGUUUGUCUCCAUGUACUGCAGGGUCUCCCGGCCAGGCCUUGCGCGCCGGGUCUUCGACAGGAUGUGUCAGAGGAAUGUCGUCUCGUGGACCGCCAUGGUGGGAGGGUAUGCGGAGAAUGGCAUGUUUGAGGAUGCGGUGAAGGCUUUCCGGGCGAUGUGGGCGGUUGAUGGUAUUCUGCCGAAUAGGGUCGCAUUGAUCAGUGUGCUGUCGGCUGUCGAGGGCCUCAUGGGCUUAGCAGAGGGCAAGCAAGUGCAUGGUUUCGCUGUCAGGAUGGGGCUCUAUGGGGAGUUGUCUCUCAACAAUGCUUUGAUUGAUAUGUAUGCAAAGGCCGGAGCCUUGCGUUAUGCAAGGCGUGUUUUCGAUGAUGCUACUUGGCGCAAAGAUGUCAUCUCAUGGGGUUCAAUGGUACUGGGUUAUGGCCUUCAUGGUAUGGGUACAGAAGCAGUUGCCUUGUUUGAUCAUAUGCAUGCUUCUGGGGUUAAGCCAGACAGCAUAGUUGGUCUGGGUGUGCUCUCUGCGUGCUGCAGGGCAGGAUUGGUGUUGAAGGGACUUGAGAUAUACAACUCCCUUGUUAAGGAUCACAAAGUCCAUCCAACCGAGGAGAUGUCUGCUUGCGUAGUUGAUCUACUGGGGCGUUCCGGGUUGAUCGACCAUGCCUUGGACUUCAUAAAGUCAAUGAGUGUAGAGCCAGGUCCUAGUGUAUGGGGAGCACUUCUGGAUGCCUCUGUUAUUCACAGUAACAAAGAAACUCAAGAUUUAGCUUGCAGGUCUCUUCUUAGAUUGGAAGAAGAGAGCCCAUCAAAUCUUGUCUCGGUAUCUAACCUACAUGCCUCUUCUGGUAGGUGGAAUAUUGUUGAACAAGUGAGGGCAAAGAUUAAACAGGGAACGUUGAAGAAAACACCUGGUCGCAGUUGGGUAAAUGCAGCAACAUAG